AUUGAACGCUGGCGGCAGGCCUAACACAUGCCAGUCGAGCGGAUGAAGGGAGCUUGCUCCUGGAUUCAGCGGCGGACGGGUGAGUAAUGCCUAGGAAUCUGCCUGGUAGUGGGGGAUAACGUCCGGAAACGGGCGCUAAUACCGCAUACGUCCUGAGGGAGAAAGUGGGGGAUCUUCGGACCUCACGCUAUCAGAUGAGCCUAGGUCGGAUUAGCUAGUUGGUGGGGUAAAGGCCUACCAAGGCGACGAUCCGUAACUGGUCUGAGAGGAUGAUCGGUCACACUGGAACUGAGACACGGUCCAGACUCCUACGGGAGGCAGCAGUGGGGAAUAUUGGACAAUGGGUGAAAGCCUGAUCCAGCCAUGCCGCGUGUGUGAAGAAGGUCUUCGGAUUGUAAAGCACUUUAAGUUGGGAGGAAGGGCAGUAAGUUAAUACCUUGCUGUUUUGACGUUACCAACAGAAUAAGCACCGGCUAACUUCGUG
rnacentral:rRNA from 1 species